CUUCAGGAUCUUCUCAGAUCCACUCUUUCUUCUGUGAAAGUUUCUU
rfam:Callithrix jacchus chromosome 1, whole genome shotgun sequence